rnacentral:rRNA from 1 species
GACGAACGCUGGCGGCGUGCCUAAUACAUGCAAGUAGAACGCUGAAGAGAGGAGCUUGCUCUUCUUGGAUGAGUUGCGAACGGGUGAGUAACGCGUAGGUAACCUGCCUUGUAGCGGGGGAUAACUAUUGGAAACGAUAGCUAAUACCGCAUAACAAUGGAUGACACAUGUCAUUUAUUUGAAAGGGGCAAUUGCUCCACUACAAGAUGGACCUGCGUUGUAUUAGCUAGUAGGUGAGGUAAUGGCUCACCUAGGCGACGAUACAUAGCCGACCUGAGAGGGUGAUCGGCCACACUGGGACUGAGACACGGCCCAGACUCCUACGGGAGGCAGUAGUAGGGAAUCUUCGGCAAUGGGGGCAACCCUGACCGAGCAACGCCGCGUGAGUGAAGAAGGUUGUCGGAUCGUAAAGCUCUGUUGUAAGUCAAGAACGGGUGUGAGAGUGGAAAGUUCACACUGUGACGGUAGCUGACCAGAAAGGGACGGCUAACUACGUG